rnacentral:rRNA from 1 species
AACGUAGGACGCAAGCGUUAUCCGGAGUUACUGGGCGUAAAGCGCGGGCAGGCGGCUGGACAAGUCUGAUGUGAAAUCUCCUCGCUCAACGGGGAGGGGCCAUGGGAAACUGUCUAGCUGGAGGGCAGUAGAGGUAGGCGGAAUUCCGGGUGGAGUGGUGAAAUGCGUAGAGAUCCGGAGGAACACCAGAGGCGAAGGCGGCCUACUGGGCUGCACCUGACGCUGAGCCGCGAAAGCCAGGGGAGCGAACGGG